UGACCCUGGCUCAGAUGAACGCUGGCGGCAGGCUAACACAUGCAAGUCGAGCGGAUGAGAGGAGCUUGCUCCUUGAUUUAGCGGCGGACGGGUGAGUAAUGCCUAGGAAUCUGCCUGGUAGUGGGGGAUAACGUUCCGAAAGGAACGCUAAUACCGCAUACGUCCUACGGGAGAAAGCAGGGGACCUUCGGGCCUUGCGCUAUCAGAUGAGCCUAGGUCGGAUUAGCUAGUUGGUGAGGUAAUGGCUCACCAAGGCGACGAUCCGUAACUGGUCUGAGAGGAUGAUCAGUCACACUGGAACUGAGACACGGUCCAGACUCCUACGGGAGGCAGCAGUGGGGAAUAUUGGACAAUGGGCGAAAGCCUGAUCCAGCCAUGCCGCGUGUGUGAAGAAGGUCUUCGGAUUGUAAAGCACUUUAAGUUGGGAGGAAGGGCAUUAACCUAAUACGUUAGUGUUUUGACGUUACCGACAGAAUAAGCACCGGCUAACUUCGUGCCAGCAGCCGCGGUAAUACGAAGGGUGCAAGCGUUAAUCGGAAUUACUGGGCGUAAAGCGCGCGUAGGUGGUUCGUUAAGUUGGAUGUGAAAGCCCCGGGCUCAACCUGGGAACUGCAUCCAAAACUGGCGAGCUAGAGUACGGUAGAGGGUGGUGGAAUUUCCUGUGUAGCGGUGAAAUGCGUAGAUAUAGGAAGGAACACCAGUGGCGAAGGCGACCACCUGGACUGAUACUGACACUGAGGUGCGAAAGCGUGGGGAGCAAACAGGAUUAGAUACCCUGGUAGU
rnacentral:rRNA from 1 species